CAGUAGCCGCGGUAAAACGAAGGGGGCUAGCGUUGUUCGGACUUACUGGGCGUAAAGGGCGCGUAGGCGGACUGAUAAGUCAGGGGUGAAAUCCCAAGGCUCAACCUUGGAACUGCCUUUGAUACUGUUUGUCUUGAGUUCGAGAGAGGUAAGUGGAACUGCGAGUGUAGAGGUGAAAUUCGUAGAUAUUCGGAAGAACACCAGUGGCGAAGGCGGCCCGCUGGACAUGUAUUGACGCUGAGGUGCGAAAGCGUGGGGAGCAAACAGGAUUAGAUACCCGGGUAGUCCCUGUCUCUUAUAC
rnacentral:rRNA from 1 species